rnacentral:rRNA from 1 species
CCUACGGGAGGCUGCAGUGAGGAAUAUUGGUCAAUGGUCGGGAGACUGAACCAGCCAAGCCGCGUGAGGGAUGAAGGUACAGAGUAUCGUAAACCUCUUUUGUCAGGGAACAAAGGCGGGGACGUGUCCCCGUAUGAGUGUACCUGAAGAAAAAGCAUCGGCUAACUCCGUGCCAGCAGCCGCGGUUAUACGGAGGAUGCGAGCGUUAUCCGGAUUUAUUGGGUUUAAAGGGAGCGUAGGCCGCAUGUCAAGCGUGCUGUGAAAUGUCCGGGCUCAACCCGGGCCUUGCAGCGGAAACUGGCGGGCUUGAGUCCGCGGGAAGCAGGCGGAAUUCGUCGUGUAGCGGUGAAAUGCUUAGAUAUGACGAAGAACCCCGAUUGCGAAGGCAGCUUGCUGCAGCGGAACUGACGCUGAUGCUCGAAAGCGUGGGUAUCGAACAGGAUUAGAUACCCGUGUAGUC